rnacentral:rRNA from 1 species
GCCUACGGGGUGCAGCAGUAGAGAAUCUUCCCCAAUGGGCGAAAGCCUGAUGGAGCAACGCCGCGUGGGUGAAGAAGGUCUUCGGAUCGUAAAACCCUGUUGUUAGAGAAGAAAGUGCGUGAGAGUAACUGUUCACGUUUCGACGGUAUCUAACCAGAAAGCCACGGCUAACUACGUGCCAGCAGCCGCGGUAAUACGUAGGUGGCAAGCGUUAUCCGGAUUUAUUGGGCGUAAAGGGAACGCAGGCGGUCUUUUAAGUCUGAUGUGAAAGCCUUCGGCUUAACCGGAGUAGUGCAUUGGAAACU